GACGAACGCUGGCGGCGCGCCUAACACAUGCAAGUCGAACGAGCGAGAGAGAGCUUGCUUUCUCAAGCGAGUGGCGAACGGGUGAGUAACGCGUGAGGAACCUGCCUCAAAGAGGGGGACAACAGUUGGAAACGACUGCUAAUACCGCAUAAGCCCACAGGUCGGCAUCGACCAGAGGGAAAAGGAGCAAUCCGCUUUGAGAUGGCCUCGCGUCCGAUUAGCUAGUUGGUGAGGUAACGGCCCACCAAGGCAACGAUCGGUAGCCGGACUGAGAGGUUGAACGGCCACAUUGGGAAUGAGACACGGCCCAGACUCCUACGGGAGGCAGCAGUGGGGAAUAUUGCACAAUGGGGGAAACCCUGAUGCAGCGACGCCGCGUGGAGGAAGAAGGUCUUCGGAUUGUAAACUCCUGUUGUUGAGGAAGAUAAUGACGGUACUCAACAAGGAAGUGACGGCUAACUACGUG
rnacentral:rRNA from 1 species